rnacentral:tRNA from 1 species
GGAGAGAUGGCCGAGCGGCUGAAGGUGCACGCCUGGAAAGCGUGUGUGCUUUAAUAGAGUACCGAGGGUUCGAAUCCCUCUCUCUCCGCCA